rnacentral:lncRNA from 1 species
GCGCACUCUUGUCUGCUUACGAGGGCUCCUCCCUUCAGCUUUGGUCCCUCGGGGCGUCUGGGCAGCCUACGCUUUCCGGUGAGUUUUCCAGUUGGUUCUUUGGAAGCCGUUUUGCGGUGACUGGUUUUCUGCUCUCUCUCACUGCUCCGAGUCAGGGCCCACCUCCUUGACCGACACCUCACCUCCAUAGUCCACAUAAAAGACUCCUGACAGGUUCUGGAGGCAGCCGACGCCAGCUUCUGUUCCCCUCCCCAGCCCUUGGCAGCUCAGGUUCCGCGGGAGGACGUUCACCUGCUUCGCGGUCUCGUGGAGGUCCACCGCGGCGGAGAAUCCUAAACCUCACCUGUGACUCGGCAGGAUGAGCGGCCAGCACUCCCGACGGAGGCCCUCUGGGAGAAAAGAGGCCCUUGGCCUCGAGACCCAGGAAAGCGGGCUGUUCAGGAGUUGGUUCGCGCAGUUACACCGAAAGCGCCGUGGGCCUCAAAGCCGCAGCCCGGAGGAUAAAAAUGGCAGAAUGAAAGAAUUAUGAGUGGAACUAGAGAAUAGGAAAGACAUGAACCAACGCCCAAAAUGAGAAAGAAGGACAUAUAAAGAAAAAGACAAAUACAAGUGAAAAAAAUAGACUAAUGGAUUAACGUCCCUGUCGUGUGACAUUUUCUGGUAUGACAGCUGAAGAUGUUGAACCGUAUGGUGCAGUUUUGCAAAUAGUGUAUGAAGUGGGUUGUAAGUUUUACCAGUAAUUGUCUAUAGAUACAAAAAGGAGCCAACCUCUUUUUUUUUCUUUUAGUGUGAUGUUCCUUGUUCUAUCUUCGAACUCUCAAAGGUAGCCUUUACACAGAUGUUCAAACUAAUUCUACCAGUGUCAUAUGUCUACCAAUCUCAUUACUUCCCUUGUAUGUACUUCUAGAGCAAAGAGCUCAUUACAGUAAGAAUGAUGGUAAAUUUUACUGAGGCAAACAAAGAUUUCUGAACGCGAGCAGUGUGUGUGAAAUGCUUAUGCACUAGCUGAUAGCAUAACUCUGGUCAAAGAAAUUUGGUCACUUAAAUAUUAUAAUUGAAUUUAGCCCCUAAAGUAGCUGUUCUUAACCUGGAAUCUGAAGAACAGCCUGUUGGUGGGGCUCCCAGGGAAUUUGUGAACCACUGAAAUUAUAUACAUAAUUUCAUGUCUGUGUACCGUGUACAUUUAUUUUUCUUACUUUUUUUUGAGAUGGAGUUUCGCUCUGUUGCCCAGCCUGGAGUGCAGUGGCACCACCUCAGCUCACUGCAAGCUCCGCCUCCUGGGUUCACACCAUUCUCCUGCCUCAGCCUCCCGAGUAGCUGGGACUACAGGUGCCCGCCACCAUGCCCGGCUAAUUUUUUGUGUUUUUAGUAGAGACGGGGUUUCACCAUGUUAGCCAGGAUGGUCUCAAUCUCCUGACCUCGUGAUCCGCCUGCCUUGGCCUCCCAAAGUGCUGGAAUUACAGGUGUGAGCCACCGCGCCCGGCCCUGUUUUU